GAUGAACGCUGGCGGCGUGCCUAAUACAUGCAAGUCGAGCGAACAGACGAGGAGCUUGCUCCUCUGACGUUAGCGGCGGACGGGUGAGUAACACGUGGAUAACCUACCUAUAAGACUGGGAUAACUUCGGGAAACCGGAGCUAAUACCGGAUAAUAUAUUGAACCGCAUGGUUCAAUAGUGAAAUACGGUUUUGCGGUCACUUAUAGAUGGAUCCGCUCCGCAUUAGCUAGUUGGUAAGGUAACUGCUUACCAAGGCAACGAUGCGUAGCCGACCUGAGAGGGAGAUCGGCCACACUGGAACUGAGACACGGCCCAGACUCCUACGGGAGGCCGCAGUAGGGAAUCUUACGCAAUGCGCGAAAGCUUGACGGAGCAAAGCCGCGUGAGUGAUGAAGGUCUUCGGAUCGUAAAACUAUGUUAUUAGGGAAGAACAAAUGUGUAAGUAACUAUGCACGUCUUGACGGUACCUAAUCAGAAAGCCACGGCUAACUACGUG
rnacentral:rRNA from 1 species